rnacentral:rRNA from 1 species
GGAAUAUUGCACAAUGGGGGAAACCCUGAUACAGCGACGCCGCGGGAGUGAAGAAGUAGUUCGGUAGGUAAAGCUCUAUCAGCAGGGAAGAAAAUGACGGUACCUGACUAAGAAGCCCCGGCUAACUACGUGCCAGAAGCCGCGGUAAUACGUAGGGGGCAAGCGUUAUCCGGAUUUACUGGGUGUAAAGGGCGCGUAGACGGUGAUGCAAGUCAGAAGUGAAAGCCCGGGGCUCAACUCCGGGACUGCUUUUGAAACUGUGUAACUGGAGUGCAGGAGAGGUAAGCGGAAUUCCUGGUGUAGCGGUGAAAUGCGUAGAUAUCAGGAGGAACACCAGUGGCGAAGGCGGCUUACUGGACUGUAACUGACGUUGAGGCUCGAAAGCGUGGGGAGCAAAC